CCUACGGGAGGCAGCAGUAGGGAAUCUUCCACAAUGGACGAACGUCUGAUGGAGCAACGCCGCGUGAGUGAAGACGGGUUUCGGCUCGUAAAGCUCUGUUGGUAGUGAAGAAAGAUAGAGGUAGUAACUGGCCUUUAUUUGACGGUAAUUACUUAGAAAGUCACGGCUAACCGCGUGCCAGCAGCCGCGGUAAUACGUAGGUGGCAAGCGUUUUCCGGCGUUAUUGGGCGUAAAGCGAGUGCAGGCGGUUCAAUAAGCCGGAUGGAAACGCCGUCGGCUCAACAGGAGAAUUGCAUCAGAAACUGUUGAACGUGAGUGCAGAAGAGGAGAGUGUAACUCCAUGUGUAGCGGUGGAAUGCGUAGAUAUAUGGAAGAACACCAGUGGCGAAGGCGGCUCUCUGGUCUGCAACUGACGCUGAGGCUCGAAAGCAUGGGUAGCGAACAGGAUUAGAUACCCUAGUAGUC
rnacentral:rRNA from 1 species